UUGGGUUUAAAGUGCGCGUAGGCGGCCGAGCAAGUCUGGUGUGAAAGCCCCGGGGCUUAACCUCGGAAGGGCACUGGAAACUGCUUGGCUUGAGUCUCGGAGAGGAGGGGGGAAUUCCCCGGUGUAGCGGUGAAAAUGCGUAGAUAUCGGGAGGAAUACCGGUGGCGAAGGCGCCCCUCUGGACGGGUACUGACGCUGAGGCGCGAAAAGCGUGGGGAGCAAAACAGGAUUAGAUACCCUGGUA
rnacentral:rRNA from 1 species